GAUGAAGAACGCAGCGAAAUGCGAUAAGUAAUGUGAAUUGCAGAAUUCAGUGAAUCAUCGAAUCUUUGAACGCACAUUGCGCCCGCCAGUAUUCUGGCGGGCAUGCCUGUCUGAGCGUCAUUUCAACCCUCAUGCCCCUAGGGCGUGGUGUUGGGGAUCGGCCAAAGCCCGCGAGGGACGGCCGGCCCCUAAAUCUAGUGGCGGACCCGUUGUGGCCUCCUCUGCGAAGUAGUGAUAUUCCGCAUCGGAGAGCGAUGAGCCCCUGCCGUUAAACCCCCAACUUUCCAAGGUUGACCUCAGAUCAGGUAGGAAUACCCGCUGAACUUAAGCAUAUCAAUAAGCGGAGGA
rnacentral:misc_RNA from 1 species